rnacentral:rRNA from 1 species
AUUCAAAUUCCGCAUCGUUAUUUGAAUUAAAGAUUAAUCGGUAACGGAUGGGGAUGCGUGACAUUAGAUAGUAGGCGGGGUAACGGCCCACCUAGUCUACGAUGUCUAGGGGUUCUCGAGAGGAAGGUCCCCCACACUGGAACUGAGACACGGUCCAGACUCCUACGGGAGGCAGCAGUGAGGAAUAUUGGUCAAUGGUCGGAAGACUGAACCAGCCAAGUAGCGUGAAGGAUGAAGGUUCUAUGGAUUGUAAACUUCUUUUAUACGGGAAUAAAACCUCCCACGUGUGGGAGCUUGUAUGUACCGUAUGAAUAAGCAUCGGCUAACUCCGUG